rnacentral:lncRNA from 1 species
AGACCACGCCCACGACGGGCCCGGCGCUCCAGCGUCUCCUGGAGCCUGGCCACCGUUCCUUUUCGUGGUAGCUAAUCCCAGCCCACGCUCUUCUGUCUGACCCAACUCCCGCCCGGGUUUCUGGAUCAGGCACAAGUUUGUAUUUUAUUUUUUAUUCCAGCCCUACAACCUGGGUCCAACUCUUGGGACCUUUGUUCUUCCUCUUUUUUUUUUUUUUUUUUUUUUUUUUUUUUUGAGACGGAGUUUCACUCUUGUCGCCCAGGCUGGAGUGCAAUGGCACGAUCUCGGUUCACUGCAACCUCCGCCUUCCUGAUUAAAGCGAUUAUCCUGCCUCAGCCUCCCGAGUAGCUGGGAUUACAGGCGCCCGACACCACGCCCGGCUAAUUUUUGUAGUUUUAGUAGAGACGGGGUUUUUCCAUGUUGACUAGGCUGGUCUCGAACUCCUGACCUCGUGAUCCACCAGCCUCGGCCCCCGAAAGUGCCAAGAUUGCAGAAGUGAGCCACUGCGCCCCUUAAGAAGCAUUUGUGUUCCAGUGUAUCUUCCCCUUUUUCUUUCUUUUUUUUUUUCCUUCCUUUUUUUUUUUUUUUUUUCCCGGACAAUAUCUCGCUCUGUUGCCCAGGCCGGAGUGCAGUGGCGCAAUCUUGGCUCACUGCAACCUCUGCCUCCCCAGCUCAAGUGAUCCUCUCACCUCAGCCUCCCGAGUAGCUGGGAUCACGGGCACAUGCCACUAUGCCCAGCUAAUUUUUGUAGUUUUUUUUUUGAAACACGGUUUCACCAUGUGGCUCAGGCUGAACUCCUGAGCUCAAGGGAUCCACCUGUCUUGCCUCCCAAAGUGCUGGGAUUACAGGCAUGUAAUCCACGCCACCCAGACUCUCCUUUUUCAUUCUGCACGUUUUCUCCAGGAUCCCCUGAGCUAGCAAAGAGGUGACUGUAUGUUUGUUUUUUGUCGUUUUGAGACAGGAUAAUGGUUUCUCACCCAGGCUAGAAUGCAGUGACUCCAUCACAGUUCACUGCAGCCUCAACCUACUGGGCUCAAGAGAUCUUCCCAGGUAGCUGGUACUACAGGCCUGUGCCACCACACCCAGAUAAUUGUUCAUUGCAGAGAUGAGGGUCUCACUAUGUUGCCCAGGCUGCUCUGGAACUCCGGGGUUCAAGUGAUUCUCCCACCUCAGCCUCAAAGGAUCAUGGCAGGGCAAAGGGCUAUGGGAAUCUGAGUACUGGCUUGAAACUGCCUUUGCAAAAAUUAUGACAGAAAAUUAUGUCAGUGAAAGAGCUCUGACCUAACCAACUCCAUCUUGCCUUUAAUCUCCAAACUGCCCUUGCUUGGUCAUUCCUGGAGUGGGGUCAAGCUAACUUUUUUUUUUUUUUUGACACGUUGUCUCACUCUGUCGCCCAGGCUGGAGUCCAGUGGUGUGAUCUCAGCUCACUGCAACAUCCGCCUCCUAGGUUCAAGCAAUCCUCCUGCCUCAGCUUCCUGAGUAGCUGGGAUUACAGGCAUGCGCCACAUGCCCAGCUAAUUUUUGUAUUUUUGGUAGAGACUGGGUUUCACCAUUUUUGGUAGAGAUGGGGUUUCACCUUGGGGCUCAGGCUGGUGUCGAACUCCUGGGCUCAAGUGAUCUGCCCGCCUCAGCCUGCCAAAUUGCUGGGAUUAAAGAGGGAGCCACCAUGCCUGGCCCCAAGCUAAUUUUGGGAGGAAUUUAGUUUAUAGCUUAAAUGAUAAUAGCCCUUCCCCAAACUAAACUGCCUUUGUAGAAAUAAUGAAAGGGCACUAGGUUAGGAGGAUGAGAGGAGCCUGAAUUCUGCUAAACUGUAGGUGUAGUAGUUAAAUUAUGACCAGCCAUUUUUCCGGCCGGGUGCGGUGCCUCACGCCUGUAAUCCCAGCACUUUGAGAGGCCGAGGCUGGCAGAUUACCUGAGGUCAGGAUUUCGAAACCAGCCUGGCCAGCAUUUCGAAACCCCAUCUCUUCUAAAAAUACAAAAAUUAGCCCGGCAUGGUGGCAUGUGCCUGUAAUCCUAGCUACCUGGUAGGCUGACACAGGAGAAUCACUUGAACCCAGGAGGCAGAGGUUGCAGUGAGCCAAGAUGGAACAACUGCACUCCAGCCUGGGCAAGAGCAAGACUCCAUCUCAAAAACAAAAACAAAGAUGGCCAGCCAUUAUUCUGGAGGUCACAAGGUUUGCAACUUCCCCAGUUAUUUCUGCAAAUAACAUGACUAUUGCAAAACCUAACGCUGGCCUUUUUAGAUGUCUUUUUAGGCUUUUUGCAUAUCUGACAACUGGAUGACUCCACCCAGACUAGCGACUCUAUGGUCCCCACCCAGAAGCUGACUCAGCAACUGUUUUCCACAGCUCCAGGAUUGCAGCAAGGCACCCAUUCCCUAGCCCUCCUGCCCACCAAACUGUUCUUGAAUAACCCUAGCCUCUGAAUUUUCAGGGAGGCUGAUUCAAGUAAUAAAACUCCCAUCUCCCAUUUAGCUGGAUGUAUGUGGAUUAAACUCUCUCUAUUGCAAUCCCUCUGUCUCGAUAAAUUGGCUCUAUCUGGACAGUGGGCAAGAUGAACCCCCUGGGCAGUCAUAGGCUGUGAACUCUUAAAUCCAGGGAGAUGUUUGCUGUCAAUGUCCGCAGGGUUCAAGGCAGAAGACAAGGACAGUGUAGCCUGAACUGGGUGGGAAAAGAGAGGACAGCAAGGCCUCCAGUGCCCAAGGGGGCUUGUUGGAGUUGAGGGGUGUCACUGUAGUUUAGGAGAUGAGGGUGUGUAAGGCCCUCUAAUAUGACCUCUAGGUUUACAGCCUCCUGCCAUCUUCCAGCCUCCAAAACCCAAAAAUUCAGGCCAACGCUGAAGCUUUAUCUGGGAGGGGCAUUUUUAUAGGACCCAUAACCAUUGACAGUUAAUAUCAG